CUCCCGAGUGCUUGCACUCAAUUGGAAAGAGGAGUGGCGGACGGGUGAGUAACACGUGGGUAACCCACCCAUCAGAGGGGGAUAACACUUGGAAACAGGUGCUAAUACCGCAUAACAGUUUAUGCCGCAUGGCAUAAGAGUGAAAGGCGCUUUCGGGUGUCGUUGAUGGAUGGACCCGCGGUGCAUUAGCUAGUUGGUGAGGUAACGGCUCACCAAGGCCACGAUGCAUAGCCGACCUGAGAGGGUGAUCGGCCACACUGGGACUGAGACACGGCCCAGACUCCUACGGGAGGCAGCAGUAGGGAAUCUUCGGCAAUGGACGAAAGUCUGACCGAGCAACGCCGCGUGAGUGAAGAAGGUUUUCGGAUCGUAAAACUCUGUUGUUAGAGAAGAACAAGGACGUUAGUAACUGAACGUCCCCUGACGGUAUCUAACCAGAAAGCCACGGCUAACUACGUGCCAGCAGCCGCGGUAAUACGUAGGUGGCAAGCGUUGUCCGGAUUUAUUGGGCGUAAAGCGAGCGCAGGCGGUUUCUUAAGUCUGAUGUGAAAGCCCCCGGCUCAACCGGGGAGGGUCAUUGGAAACUGGGAGACUUGAGUGCAGAAGAGGAGAGUGGAAUUCCAUGUGUAGCGGUGAAAUGCGUAGAUAUAUGGAGGAACACCAGUGGCGAAGGCGGCUCU
rnacentral:rRNA from 1 species